AUCGCUUCUCGGCCUUUUGGCUAAGAUCAAGUGUAGUAUCUGUUCUUAUCAGUUGAUGAUAAAUCGCUUCUCGGCCUUUUGGCUAAGAUCAAGUGUAGUAUCUGUU
ensembl:snRNA U2 U2 spliceosomal RNA